CCCAGCAUAUUUUUAAGCACAAUAACAAUAUAAUUUGAAUCUUCAUAACUGUUGCACUUACAUAGAAAUCCAGUACCUCAGCAGAACAUACCCCUCAUCCAGGUUUAUUUAGGCAACAUCACAAUGAUUAAUUAAUAUUUUGCCCCAUGAGGUAAAGUUGAGAGAAUAAAACUGACCUGACAAUAUAGACUAGUUGUUGAACCUGACUCACGAUAGUCUUACCAACCUUAGAGCACUCUUGUUUUAUUGUUACUAAAUAAAUCAGGUUCAUUCAACUUUUGUUCCUCUCCCCUGGUUAUGUUAAAACGUGUGAGUUUUACAUACAAACACAGAAAAACAGUAUUUCAUCCUCUGAGCUGUAGCUACCGUCGAAAAGAGAUCAUAAAUACCCAUAAGGUCACUUUUCUUACUACUUUUCUUUAUUUACAAUUACACGAGUGAUUCAAAGUCAAAUAAAGCAAAGGAAUUUACAAUAUGUUCCCACUGAAAAUGAUAUACUGGCAGUGUGAAGGCUGUAAAAAAUAGUAUUUAUAGACAUAAAAGAACUAAAUGUAAAUUAAUACAUAAAAUAUAAAGUAAGCAUUUCUAAAACCGUGGAUAUAUUGCGGCUUAUCUUGUAUUUCAAAGAUAAUUUCACAAAAAAUAAAGUUGAUGCUUUGCAGAAGAGAAGAGCGAAAUGUACCCCUUUAAAAACAAAUCAAUGCGGUUAAAAGGUAAAUGUAGAAUUUAAGCAAAUCAGCAAUUUUUUUUCAACAGUUUUUGUUUUGUUUUUUCAUGAUUGACCUACAGACAAAAAAAAGAAAAACAACGGAAAUACAGUAUAUGACGUUCCUCAGGACAACAAUCAGACACGCCCUCUGAAUCAGAAUCCUACAGAAGAUGCUGCAGGUCCAAACUCGACCUACUGCUUGGUACAAUUUCACACCGGACCUGCAGAAUCCACUUCACACAAAAACCAAAAUCCAGAGACUGUGUAUGCUCAGGUUAACAGAGCAGCCAAGAAGAAGAACAGAUCCCCUCAGAACCAAAGCACUGAGCUGGAAAACGUUCAUACAGUAUAUACAUAGAGCUAAACCAUGACAUGUACACGAUGGACAGUAAUACUCUAAUACGCUGGACAUUCUGUUAUCGUAUCUAGGUAUGAAUAUUUUCUUAACCUGAAAUUGGUUCCCAAAGACUUAAAUCCCUAUUUUUAAUGUACAUAUCAUAUUUUAUGAUUUAAGACUAAACACAAACGGUCCAAGACCGCGUA